CCUGAGAGACCAGGGUUCAAGUCACCACUCAGCCAUGAAACUUACUGGGUUACCAGUCACUUCCUUCCAGCCUAACCUACAUCACAGGGUUGUUGAGAGGAUUAAUUGAGCAGGGAAGUACCAUGCGCUCUACCUUGAGCUCCUUCGAGAAAAAGGUGGAACAUAGAUGAAGCAAAUAAAAAAAUAUUAUUAGGAUAGCUGCGCCUCUCUUCAUUUAUGGAGCUCCCUGAGGUAUCAAGCUCAUGGCUGUUGGAAGAAAAAACUGGGAGUAGAUGGGGCUUUAAGGAAAUAAGAAGAGGGUGCUAGAUCAGGCGAAUGGCUCACCUAGUCCAGCAUCCUGUUCUCACAGUGGCCACAAGUAGGAUCUAAGCAAAAUAGCAGCUCUCCCCACUUGUGAUUUCCAGUAGCUGACAUUCAGAGGCACACUGCGUCCAACCAUGGAAGCAAAAAAUAGCUGUAAUCUUUUAAAGCCGUCCAAGUUUGUGACUACUGCUGCCUCCUGUGGGAGCAAAUUCUGUAGUUUAACAAUGUGCAGUGUGAAGAAGUUCUUUCUUCCAUCCAUGAAUUCUAGUGUUAUGCAAGAAGAAGAUAUAUUAGGCCCUUCCAGAUUUUCACCAUGUUCAGAUGAAAUUCGGUCACAUGCCCGCAAAAACAGGUUGCACAAUUAUAGUUGAUUGGGAGAUCUUGCCCAGUAAACCUUCUUCCAGGUUCAUGGCUGAGUGGGGAUUGGAACCCUGGUCUCCCAGGUCCUAGUCCAACACUCCAACCACUAACAACACCAGCUGUUAUGACUCGGAAGUCCUAACGGAUUUUUAUUUCAGAGGGGUGGGUGGGUGGGUGUCUGACAGAUAACCCACUUCAGUCCUGCAGUGGUGAUGAGGGGAAAGCACUUUGCAUAUGCUUUGUGGCACUGUUUUCAUUAGAAUCCUCAGCAGUAAAAACAAGUUGAGAGGUUGAAUCUUGGCCCAAAUUAGACCCUUUGCGGGUGUCCUGGUAAGAGUUUGCCAUUUUGAAUGGAAGUCUGUUGGCGAGGGUGACAGGUGACUUAUUAACCCCGGCUAACAUGUUAGCUAAAGAAAACGCUGGAUCUCCACUUUCCCUUCAACCGUGCAGAAAAGAGUUCGUUUACUUUUGCUCCUCUCCUCCCCUCAUUAUUUGAUAGUUCUUUAAAGAGUUGCAAGUUUUACUUUGGCUGCUUUUGAUCAGAAGGAAACGGCAGUGCUGGAGCCGAAGCGCUGCAGUGUCUCUGGCUUUGAACUCACCAGGUCUAAAAGCCUGCAAGAAUAUUUUCCCUUUCAGCUUUCUAGCCUGGCUCAUACAACUUCCUGAUAAAGGGAUAUGUUAAAUUGUCCUUAAGGACGACUAGAAAGUGCCUGGUUUGUCCUUCAGAUCAGAUCUACUCUUCAGUUCUAUCGGCCAGUUUUUCAUGACUCCUAAUUCUGGCUCACUCCAGACUUCUGCCCACGGCUCAGUCCCGCCCAGCUGGUAAUACUGGAAUUACUGAUUUAUUGGAAACAAGAGCAAGAAUGAAUUGGGACACAGCUCAGAAGCACUGUUCAGCAGAUCCUCAUCGUCCUUUGUCCCGUGCAUCAUAGCAGCAAUCUCCAAACUAUUGCUGUCCCUGAGAUCCGGAAUGUCA